GACGGAGCAUGACACAGCACUUUUGGGCACAAGGCAGGGCCCAGAGGGGUGCGUGGGGGCCGCAGCCCAGCCCCCAAGCCCCGCCAGCGGCAGCCGACAAGAGAGGUGCCAUGUGGACUGUUUCACAGCUGGAGAAACUGAGGCACAGAGGGGCUGAGUCACCUGCCUAACGCACUGAGCAGUCUGGCUCCAGGACCUGUGCUCUGAACCAGCACCUGGCACAUAGCUGGCACCGACAUGGUCUCCGUGCACUGCCGUGGAUGAGAGCAAUGCUGGCUGUGGUGUCGGGCGGAGCUGGGUUCCAAUGCUGACUUCACCUUUCUCAGGCUGCACAGCCCGGAGCACGUGGCUGCACCCUACCGUGCGUCAGUUUCCUCACCUGUGAAGGGUGAUCGUGGUGGUCCUGAUCUUGCAGAGCUGCAGUGAGGGCUGUGAGUGUGGGGUGUCUCAACUGCACCUGGACACGCAGAAGGCACUCUGUGAACACUGACUUUCAUUGGCCCAGGCCUCUGAAUCCAUGACAGUUCAGUCUCUGAACCCCACAGAUUCCUCCUUCACCCUUUUCCACCCCAGGGCAAGGUGAGGGCGGUGGUUUUUAUGGGCCUGGGAACCAGACAGGCUUGGGCUCAGAGGGGGCGCCUGCUGCUGGCGGGAGUGGGGACUCCUGGUUCCCACUCCCUGAUUUUGGGCUGGGGGCCGGUGGUGGGCAGGGGUGGAGCAGCACUUUGAUGUUCUUCCCUUCAUUCCACCACCACUGCUUGAGCACCUACUGUAUGCCAGGCUCCAGGGGACCCAGCAGUGAACAAGGUCUCUGCCCUCACUGUGGUGGAGGAGAGGAUGGAGGAGAUAAACAUCGGUGAGCAAAUGCUUGAAGAGGCGAGAGGAUUUCACCAGAGAGAAGGGUCGUGAUGGGAAUCAGCAGGGGUGUUUGGGAGCUGAGUGGGUCAGAGAGGGCUUUUCUGAGGCGGUGAUGUGGAGCAGAUGCCUGAAGGAGAAGAAGGACCAGACCUGGGGAAGAGAUUUCCAGCAGAGGGAAACUCACCACAGCACGUGCAAAGGCCCUGAAGCUUUACUGGGGUGUAACAAACACACGAUAAACUGCGCAUAUUCCAGUGUUCAUGUGGAUGAGUUUGGACAUAUGCACACACUUCCGAAACCACCAGCACAAUCAAGACAGCAGACAUAUCCAUCGCCCCCAAGGGUGUCCUUGUGUCUUUUUGUCAUUCAUCCCUCCCGGCCGCCCCAUCCACACUCCCAUCGCCUGCCGACUGUGGCUGAUCUGCUUUCUGCGGCUGUGGAUUAGUUUGCGUUCUCUACAAUUUUCUGAAGCACCAGUUGGCCCAGAUGCUUCUCAUCUUUGGAGUUGAGCUGCAGGCUGGAGACCUGGAAGGCCCUCGCAGCGCCUGCUCCCAUCCUCUCACCUCACGAAAGCGCAGGAAUGUGGGUUUGGAGUCAAUGAAAAGUACUGGAAUCUGGCUCUGCUCUGUGACCCUGGGCAAGUCACUGCACCUCUCUGGGCUUCAGUUUCCUCCUUGGUAACACAGAAUGAUUAUACCUACCCCUUGGGUUUGUUGACCUGAAUCUACCCCUCAGUCAUUGCCUUUCCUUCUUGCUGCAGCCACACUGGCCCCUUGACAGUUCCUUGAACACAACAAGCCCUUUCCCACCUCAGGGCCUUUGCACGUGCAGUACCAGAUGCCUGGAAUGUCCUUCCUUCCAAUCUCCCCAUGGCCGGCUCAUUCUCAUCUUUCUUGGCUCAAAUGUUACCUCCCCAACCUAGACAGCACCCCUGCCACCUCUUCACCCCGUCUUACUCUUCUUCAAGCACUUCUGGAGGUAUCUUGCUAUUUAUCUUGUUUGUAUCUUUUUCAGCUCCAUGAGGGCAGGGGAUUUUUGUCUGUUUCAUUCACAAUGUAUUCCCAGAGCUCAGCACAGUGUCAGGCACACACUAGGUGCGUAAGAAACAGUUGCUUCCUCUACCUCUUCCCCUGCUAGCCCCAAGUUCAGCUAACUGGCUGUAUGACCCUGGGGAUUGCUUUUCACCUCUCUGUUCCCUUAUUGUCCCUUGUGGACAAAGGAUGGCCUGGGCAUGAGUUUCUUCAAGGACUCGGGUAGCAAUGAAAUCCCUGGGACCCCAGCCUCAGUACCUCCCCAGGCAAUGGGGUAGAGAGCAAGAAGGUAGGUGAGCGAGGACCAGCCUCCGCCACGCAGACACCCUCUUUCCGGCUUCUCUGUCCUCCUACUUUGCCCUGGGUUUGUGGACUUACUCUGGGCAGAUCUCCACGACCAACCACCCCCUCCCUUGGCAUGUCUGUCAGCACCCUUGGGGGAAAGAAUUUGGAAAGGGGAGGGAGAAAAAGAAAGCAGGGUGCGAGGGGCUGGUUCCCACACCUGUGUAAAUAAUUUGUCAUCUUAAAAUGCUCAAGUAUGCUCACCUUUAAUGCCUGGUUCUUGGGCUUGUUUUCCUUGGCAAGGCCCCCACGGGAGUGGAAUUUCGGCCAAAGGGAGCCCAGUUGUCAUCUUCUAAGCAUGUUCCCAGGCCAGGGGCCGGGGAGGGCUCUGGCUGAUGCUCCACUUCCGUCCCCAGAAGUGCUGGAACGUUCCUGGGAUCUAGGGAGCAGCCUCCAGUCCUGGAAGCUGUCCCAGAAUUCUGGAAUGUUGGAAUUCAAACGGCCUCCUGCCCAUUUUCCGGAGGAGGAACAUAAGACCCAGAGAGGGGAAGGGGUUGGCCUGAGGUCAUACAAUGUGCAGAGACGAGCUAGAGUUUGCUGGGAGAAGGUGCAGGUGUGUGGACAAGUCAGCAUCUAUCUCCCAUUUUCAGGUAACAGCACCUCGACUUCCUACUGAAGAACCCCCUCUUCCCUUUUCUCAGUCCAUGAGGCUGGGGGUGCCCAGAGGCCUCUGUCUCCAGGGGAGGACAUGUGACUGGGUCUUGCUCUAGUGAUUGGUCCAGGGAUGGGCACAUGACUGAGCCUGCCCAAUGAAACUUGAACCUGGGACUUCGGGGUUGGCCAUGAUUUGUGAAGGAGAUGCCAUUUUCCAUUGGAUGGACAGUGAGCAAGUGAACGCUUAGAGAAAAAGAGGACAAAACAAGGGAAAAGCCUGCCUGAGAGGAAGCAGCACAGAGCUGGACAGGCUUUGAACUCCUGGAUCCCACUGUACCUGAAAUUAGGCACCUUCAACUUUCUAGUUUUGUGAGCCACUGUCUUUCCCAUUUUUGGCUGAAAACAGUUGGGACUGGCUUUCUGUCCCUUGCAUACAGAAGGUGCUGACUGACCCCUGCCCCAUGGAAGAAGAUACUCCAGGCAGAGGAAAUAGUGUGUAUAGACACCCCUAAGCGAAUGCCAAGCGGGGCACUCAUGUACCAAGAAGAAGAAGGAGGAGGCACCUGGGAGCUGAGCUUAAGAGUUAGUCGGGUGGUCAAAGUGGGAGAAGGGGGUAUCUUUAGCAGAGGGAACAACCAUUGAAAAAGCUUGGAGGGGUGACUAGUUAGUGAAGAUCAACUGUGUGCUGAGCUCGUGUUGGGUGGCAAGGGACACAGACGAAAAGGGCACGGUGGAACCCAGCUACUUCUCACCUGCUCCAGCGCAGUGCAGGCUUGUCUGCUUUUGGAGCCGAGCCUGGACACCUCCAUGUCCUUCGCCCGGCAGAGUGCUGCCAGCACGCUGUCUCAGACUCUCCAGCAUCUCCUGGUUGAUGUGCAUCAUGGGGACCACACAAGAUUACUUUAUAGGCUGCACAGGCAAAGCAUAAAAUCACCUCGGGUCACACAGUGAGAGUUAUUCUCUCUGCAAAUUCUUUACAGUCUUUCCUUUAUAUCCAGAAGAGCCUCUGUGUGGUGCUAACUUGCCUCGAAGACCAAAUAAUUGCUAGUCUCCCUUUGUGAAAAGGAGAGCAGGUGUCAGGCUCAUUCAUGUCUCAGGCACACAAUUGUAUCUAGCUAGACUUUUUGAAAUGUCCUAUAGAGCUGCAGCACAUAUGAAUGAGGUGUCCAGCUGGUCCCAGGCCUGUAAUCGGCACCCCAGUGAGCAGACUGGACAUCCCCACCUCCACAGCUGCCCUUUCUCCCCUCCGCUCAUGUUCCCUCUAGGGACGCCACGAUCCCGACUUGUAUCACCACAGAUGAGUUUCACAUGUUUUUGAAUUUUACAUCUUAUCUGUUUUCUGUUUCUAUACAAGUUUGCCUUUUUUGAAUUCCAUAUAAGUGGAAUUCUACAAUGUGUUAUCUCAAUUUGAGUCUGUUUUUUUUUUCCUGCUCAGCAUGAUGUUUUUGAGAUGCAUAUAUGCGGUUUUGUGUAUCUGUAGAUGGUUCUUUUUUAUUGCAGAAUAAUGUUCCAGGGUAUGGAUGUACCAAAGCUUGUUCAUCCAUUCACCAGCUGAGGGAUAUUUGGACUGUUUCCAGUUUUCAGCCAUUAUAAAUAAAGCCACUAGGCACAUUUGCAAA